CAGAGGGGCAGUGUGGCGUUCCCACGGGCGUCACGGCGCGGGGGAUGAAUUAUUUGCAGGCUGCCUUUAAGGGGGAUGUGCACCCUCUUUUUAAGCUGCCCGUGGAGGAAAUUUCACAACCCCUCAGAGUUCCCGGAAAGGUGCGGCUGCUUUUGUUGGUGGGCACGCAUGCAGGCACACCUCAGGAUACAUGGAAAAGGGAUUUUUCGUGGCUCUGGGGACUAAACUGGCUUUCCGGGGCUGGAAAUGAUUGCCAGGUGUCAUCAGAAAGGUGGGGUUUCCUCUUUUCCAGUGGGUUGGUGCUCUGAUGUGAUGAAAGCUCUAACUUUCUAGGACAAUAUAGGUGCUUACCUUUCUUAAGCAUAACAGGGUACCCUGCUUUCCCCAGCACUGGAAAGGGAUUGCAUCUUGUCUUGGCUCUGGGAGACAUGAAGAGCAGUUGGUCACUGCCCUUGUUCUAGCAACCUUUUAAUCUACUUGAAGACCGUUUGUCACAGGCCUCUUGGUAUUUCUUUUUUUUUUUUUCCUUCUUUUUUUUUUUUCUCUGGAAAAAAGAAACUUACUUCCUUCAGAUCAUGUCUUCUAAACCUCUUUUUCUUACUGCUUUCUCCUCAAGCCUCUCCUUGCCUGCCCCAGCCCAGAAGCGAGAUGCUGCACUUCCCCGCCACGUCCUGCGCGCAGCCCUCCCGGCACUCACCCACCACAAAUUUGCCCUUGCCUCUUCUGCGGCCGUGCCGUGUUACUCUCCAUUGCAGUCACAGACCUUUGUAUUUGCCAGGUCCUUCCCUACAGCAUCCGCAUCGCUGCCGGGACAGUUCGGAUUUUUGUGGCGCGAGGGUCCCUGCAGUAACUCUUUCCUCCCCUUUUGAAGGCAGGUGCAUCGUUCGUCUUUCUUCUGUCACCUGGGACCACUCUUCUUGCCUGGAUUUUGGAAGAAGACCAGACACUUGUGAAAGGAAAGAGUGGUUGGUGAUCCAAGUAAUCCAUGAGCUAGCCUAACAGCCCCGCUAUUUCUGGUGGGAUUUGGCGAAGAAAAUAUAUAACAGCAGUGGCCUUAGGGAUCGGUAACUUAGGUUGUGUUGCAUUAUCUGCCACGACACCGCUGGCAGAUUACAGACUUGGUGACGGGGAAGCUGCUGGCUGACUUUGUGGUCCUGCUCAGGAGACGAGGCAGCUGGGGCUGACUCUGAGCUCCCUGUCCUCCGCUCCUGUCAGGUGGUCGCUGACAUUCAGGUGCAUCUUAGCCUGAUGGCUCUUCAUCCUGCUUCUCCUGCCCCAUGGGAAAACCCUUUGCCCCCAGAGCUGGCUGCUCGUCCUCCCUGCCGCCGCUCCCCAGCUCCUGCUCCAGCACGUUUCACGGAGCUGCUCGCUGCCCAGAGUUCUUGGCGGUCGUUAAGUAGCUAAUGACUGGGAGGUGUGAUAUGUUACUCGGUUUAUUACUCUGAUGACUCAAGUAGCUGGGUUUAGGCCAAACCACCUCUUCGUGUGAUCUGCGAGGAGGAGGGAGGAGAGGUUUCCUGCUCCCCACUGUACUGAAUGUGCUUUUCUGUGCUGUUUAGGGUGUUGGCUUUCCUAUGCCAUGUGUGACCAAGCCAGCAUGACAAUAACGAAGGUGUUUUUGAAAGAAACAAAAGUUACUGGUGAUGCACAAGGCUGUUUUCCACACGUACUGCUUUGUCCCCGGAAUUUGGGAAGAAUGGUGAUUUAGCUCCAAAAUAUGAAUCAGUGUUUGCUUGGUGUCUCUUGGGGUGAUUCAAAAGUCCUGAUAGCCUGCCGUGGAAAAUAAAAUCCUUCUGAAAAUACACAAAAGAUGCAAUUAAUUUUAGGUCCACGUGACUUAGAAGAAAAAAAGAGAAGUUUCUUUGGAAAGCAGUCUAGGCUAUCUUACGCAUGUCUGGCUGAUGUUUCCACUAGCUGGGAACAGUGAGCAAGGCGAGAGAAGGGGUCCAGGCCAGAGUCUGCAUAGACUGUGAGAAAUGUUUUUUUUCUUAACUUUUUGACUUGUUGCCCUGGAGAUGCUGGUGUUUCAAACAUCCUGCUUAGUGGACAGACUGUUAAUCCUUUUCCAAUGCUGUGGAAAUCCCAGGCCCAGUGGAACUAUGUUACUUAUUAAAAAAUAUGCGUAGGACUAACAUUUUUCUAGCACGUAGUAAAACCAGUGAUUUCCACAAAACUUCCACAACCUUCCUUGGGAUAAUGAUCCUUCCACCUCCUUGGUCAGGCAGCUCCUCCCAACCAGUCAUCCCUAUGUCAGGAAAGCGCUUGUGCUGCGUUUGGUACUGCUGCCCUAACACUGCCAGCAUUUUCAGGAAAAUACGGUCCUGGGGGGGAUGGACAGUAGUCACUGAAAUAUCACAGUGGAUUAACAGGAAAAAAACCUGUGGCGGUUUGCCUCUGCGCAGCAUGGAUGGCUGCGAGCGUGGUGGUUUCUAACUUCAUAGUGCACACGCAUCCCAGCACCUUA